rnacentral:rRNA from 1 species
AGCAGCCGCGGUAAAUUCCAGCUCCAAUAGCGUAUAUUAAAGUUGUUGCAGUUAAAAAGCUCGUAGUUGAAUUUCGGGAUUAGUAGGUUGGUCGUGCCUCUGGUAUGUACUGGCUUUACUGGUUCCUCCUUCUUGAAGAACUGUAAUGUCAUUAAUUUGGUGUUGCAGGGAAACAGGACUGUUACUUUGAAAAAAUUAGAGUGUUUAAAGCAGGCUAACGCUUGAAUACAUUAGCAUGGAAUAAUGAAAUAGGACGUUUGAUCCUAUUUUGUUGGUUUCUAGGAUUGACGUAAUGAUUAAUAGGGAUAGUUGGGGGCAUUAGUAUUCAAUUGUCAGAGGUGAAAUUCUUGGAUUUAUUGAAGACUAACUACUGCGAAAGCAUUUGCCAAGGAUGUUUUCA